rnacentral:tRNA from 1 species
UAGAUAGAUGCUCGCUGGUUUGGGCGCUUAGCUGUUAACUAAGAUUUUGUAGGAUCGAAGCCUGCCUGUCUAG